CCUACGGGAGGCAGCAGUGGGGAAUAUUGGACAAUGGGGGGAACCCUGAUCCAGCGACGCCGCGUGAGUGAAGAAGUAUUUCGGUAUGUAAAGCUCUAUCAGCAGGGAAGAAAAUGACGGUACCUGACUAAGAAGCCCCGGCUAACUACGUGCCAGCAGCCGCGGUACUACGUAGGGGGCAAGCGUUAUCCGGAUUUACUGGGUGUAAAGGGAGCGUAGACGGUGCAGCAAGUCUGAUGUGAAAGGGCGGUACCCAACCCCGGGACUGCAUUGGAAACUGCUUAACUGGAGUACAGGAGGGGUGAGCGGAAUGCCUGGUGUAGCGGUGAACUGCGUAGAUAUUAGGCGGAACACCAGUGGCGAAGGCAGCUUACUGGACUGUAACUGACGUUGAUGCUCGAAAGCGUGGGGAGCAAACAGGAUUAGAUACCCCAGUAGUC
rnacentral:rRNA from 1 species